rnacentral:rRNA from 1 species
AGAGUUCGAUCCUGGCUCAGGAUGAACGCUGGCGGCGCGCCUAACACAUGCAAGUCGAGCGGCACCCCUCCUCGGAGGGAAGCGAGCGGCGAACGGCUGAGUAACACGUGACCAACCUGCCCUGCGCACGGGGACAGCCGCGGGAAACCGCGGGUGAUACCCGGUGGCCCCCUGGGACCGCAUGGCCCCAGGGGCAUAGCUCCGGCGGCGCGGGAUGGGGUCGCGGCCCAUCAGGUAGUUGGUAGGGUGACGGCCUACCAAGCCGACUACGGGUAGCCGGGUUGAGAGACCGACCGGCCAGAUUGGGACUGAGACACGGCCCAGACUCCUACGGGAGGCAGCAGUGGGGAAUCUUGCGCAAUGGGGGGAACCCUGACGCAGCGACGCCGCGUGCGGGAUGGAGGCCUUCGGGUCGUGAACCGCUUUCAGCAGGGACGAGACUGACGGUACCUGCAGAAGAAGCCCCGGCUAACUACGUGCCAGCAGCCGCGGUAAUACGUAGGGGGCGAGCGUUAUCCGGAUUCAUUGGGCGUAAAGCGCGCGUAGGCGGCCGCGCAGGCGGGGGGUCAAAUCCCGGGGCUCAACCCCGGGCCGCCCCCCGAACCGCGCGGCUUGGGUCCGGCAGGGGAGGGUGGAACGCCCGGUGUAGCGGUGGAAUGCGCAGAUAUCGGGCGGAACACCGGAGGCGAAGGCGGCCCUCUGGGCCGGCACCGACGCUGAGGCGCGAGAGCCGGGGGAGCGAACAGGAUUAGAUACCCUGGUAGUCCCGGCCGUAAACGAUGGACGCUAGGUGUGGGGACGUUGGAGUCUCCGUGCCGCAGCCAACGCAUUAAGCGUCCCGCCUGGGGAGUACGGCCGCAAGGCUAAAAC